GAUGAACGCUGGCGGCGUGCCUAACACAUGCAAGUCGAACGAAGCAAUACUAUGAAGAAGGAUUUAGUUUACUAGAUCUGGGAACGAAGAAUUGACUGAGUGGCGGACGGGUGAGUAACGCGUGAGGAACCUGGCCUUUACAGGGGGAUAACAGUCAGAAAUGACUGCUAAUACCGCAUAAGCACACGCUAUCGCAUGAUAGCGAGUGAAAAGAUUUAUCGGUAAAGGAUGGCCUCGCGUCUGAUUAGUUAGUUGGUAGGGUAAUGGCCUACCAAGACAGCGAUCAGUAGCCGACCUGAGAGGGUGACCGGCCACAUUGGGACUGAGACACGGCCCAAACUCCUACGGGAGGCAGCAGUGGGGGAUAUUGCACAAUGGGGGAAACCCUGAUGCAGCGACGCCGCGUGAAGGAAGAAGUAUUUCGGUAUGUAAACUUCUAUCAGCAGGGAAGAAAAUGACGGUACCUGACUAAGAAGCCCCGGCUAACUACGUGCCAGCAGCCGCGGUAA
rnacentral:rRNA from 1 species